rnacentral:rRNA from 1 species
UGCAGAGGGUGCAAGCGUUAACCGGAAUUACUGGGCGUAAAGCGCGCGUAGGUGGUUAGUUAAGUUGGAUGUGAAAUCCCCGGGCUCAACCUGGGAACUGCAUCAAAACUGACUGACUAGAGUAUGGUAGAGGGUGGUGGAAUUUCCUGUGUAGCGGUGAAAUGCGUAGAUAUAGGAAGGAACACCAGUGGCGAAGGCGACCACCUGGACUGGUACUGACACUGAGGUGCGAAGGCGUGGGGAGCAAACAGG